AGCGAACGCUGGCGGCAGGCCUAACACAUGCAAGUCGAACGAAGUCUUCGGACUUAGUGGCGGACGGGUGAGUAACACGUGGGAACGUGCCUUUAGGUUCGGAAUAACUCAGGGAAACUUGUGCUAAUACCGAAUGUGCCCUUCGGGGGAAAGAUUUAUCGCCUUUAGAGCGGCCCGCGUCUGAUUAGCUAGUUGGUGAGGUAAAGGCUCACCAAGGCUGCGAUCAGUAGCUGGUCUGAGAGGAUGACCAGCCACAUUGGGACUGAGACACGGCCCAAACUCCUACGGGAGGCAGCAGUGGGGAAUCUUGCGCAAUGGGCGAAAGCCUGACGCAGCCAUGCCGCGUGGAUGAUGAAGGUCUUAGGAUUGUAAAAUCCUUUCACCGGUGAAGAUAAUGACUGUAGCCGGAGAAGAAGCCCCGGCCAACUUCGUGCCAGCCGCCGCAGUAAAAC
rnacentral:rRNA from 1 species